rnacentral:rRNA from 1 species
CGGCUCAUCGCAUCCUGGGGCUGGAGCAGGUCCCAAGGGUUUGGCUGUUCGCCAAUUAAAGCGGUACGCGAGCUGGGUUUAGAACGUCGUGAGACAGUUCGGUCCCUAUCUGCCGUGGGCGCAGGAUACUUGAGGGGAGCUAUCCAUAGUACGAGAGGACCUGGAUGGACGAACCUCUGGUGCGCCGGUUGUCUUGCCAAAGGCAUAGCCGGGUAGCCAUGUUCGGAACGGAUAACCGCUGAAAGCAUCUAAGCGGGAAGCCGGCCCCAAGAUUAGGUAUCCCGGACUUCGGUCCCUAAAGACCCCUUGUAGACUACGAGGUUGAUAGGCCGGGUGUGGAAGUCGAGCAAUCGGCGGAGCUAACCGGUCCUAAUCGGUCGUGAGGCUUGGCCAU